rnacentral:rRNA from 1 species
ACCAGGUCUGUGAAUCCAGAUCGGGGACCGUGCAGUGGUGGGCAGUUUGACUGGGCGGUCUCCUCCUAAAGCGUAACGGAGGAGUACGAAGGUCACCUAGGUACGGUCGGACAUCGUACUGAUAGUGCAAUGGCAAAAGGUGGCUUGACUGCGAGACCCACAAGUCGAGCAGGUGCGAAAGCAGGUCAUAGUGAUCCGGUGGUUCUGUAUGGAAGGGCCAUCGCUCAACGGAUAAAAGGUACUCUGGGGAUAACAGGCUGAUUCCGCCCAAGAGUUCACAUCGACGUCGGAGUUUGGCACCUCGAUGUCGGCUCAUCACAUCCUGGGGCUGUAGCCGGUCCCAAGGGUAUGGCUGUUCGCCAUUUAAAGUGGUACGUGAGCUGGGUUUAAAACGUCGUGAGACAGUUUGGUCCCUAUCUGCCGUGGGGCGCUGGAAGUUUGAGAGGGCUUGCUCCUAGUACGAGAG